GAUGAAGAACGCAGCGAAAUGCGAUAAGUAAUGUGAAUUGCAGAAUUCAGUGAAUCAUCGAGUUUUUGAACGCAUAUUGCGCCCCCUGGUAUUCCGGGGGGCAUGCCUGUCCGAGCGUCAUUACAACCCUCAAGCUCAGCUUGGUGUUGGGCCCCGCCGCCCCGGCGGGCCCUAAAGUCAGUGGCGGUGCCGUCCGGCUCCGAGCGUAGUAAUUCUUCUCGCUCUGGAGGUCCGGUCGUGUGCUUGCCAGCAACCCCCAAUUUUUUUCAGGUUGACCUCGGAUCAGGUAGGGAUACCCGCUGAACUUAAGCAUAUCAAUAAGCGGAGGA
rnacentral:misc_RNA from 1 species